AACAAACCCAAAAUCUAAUCUACAGUUUAAAGAGAACUUUAUCAUGUGAGAUAGUACUGUAACCUUUGUUCAUUUGUUUUAUAUAUGAAGACGUUAAGGUUGUCGAAACGUGAAGUUAUUUCAUAUAAAGAUUAGUGGGUUGUCGGAACGUGGCUGUUAAGGAUUUUGAGCUUCUGCUCUUGAUUAUUUAAUUCGCUCAAUCAUGUAUUAUCUUAAUCUGACAUUUGUAUAAACAGCAGCUACCGCCACAGAUUUACCCUCAAUGUUUUAACGUUACUGUACUCAAGUACAGGAGUGGGGCAUCGCAGUUUAUUGAGCAGUCAGAAAACUAAAACUAAGGUAGCUAAUUGGUUGGGGAAAAACAACACGCAGUCCAGGUGGUGUACUACCAAGUGAGAUUACGGGGUUAGCGACCUAACCCAAACUUUAACCCUGGGUUUUCCGUAUCACAAAACUGACUUAUUUUAAAUCGGGGUAUAUAUGACUUAUGCUGCACGGCUAACCUAAUGUAAAAAGGCGCCUCCAUUCGGAUCCCGUAGAGCCACGGAGCGUACAUAUGAUCUGGAGACAGUCAAUGUCUGGAGAGGGCUGUCCGGGCUGAAAAGUGCGGUUGCUGGUCUGGAUGCUGUAGGGAGCUGGAGAGGGCUGGGGCUGGACCCCAUGGCGAGGCAUCAUGUCCUCACAGGCGGAGGAUGGGGCACCAGUAGGGUAACCAACCGUCAGAGAGAGAACUUGCACAAGGAGCACGUUCAGCAGCAAGCGAUCGAGUUUCCGAAGCGUUUUGGUUGCCUUGGAAGCAAUCGACGGCAACAACACAGUCCUUGAAAACACUCCAACAGUAAGGUAUAACUUAGUUAUCGAUACAUCUACAAAUUACACGGAUGGCAAGAGGAUUGACUUCUCUUCGAAAUAUAAAAGUCUGUAAAAUAGUGAAAACUACGUUCGAUAAAAAAAUAUCUAUCCAAACAAUUUUUUGGUCCCAAAUAAAUACGAAAUGAAAAAUAUCGAGUGGACCUCCUGCAAGGAGUUUACAAUCGACCUCGGAAAGGAACAAAUUGAAAAAUAUAUCAAUAUGUGGGAAUUGGAUCCAAGCUGGCUGUAUAGUUUAGUGUUCUUAGAGGAGAAGGACCUGGAAUUUCACAAGCAGUAUCACUACAGAACUCUAUGGAGCAUCCCAACUCCACAGACUCCAAUUCCAAAGGCCACUGCAUGUGUCUAUUUUGUCAUAACAGUUUCCAAGAUCAAGCCACAGAGCUUACCAGUAGAAGUGUAUUAUGUUGUGGAAGCAUGCAGGCUGAGACACAGGUAUAUCUUAAACACGUCUUGUCUUUUCUCUGUUCAAUACAGAACUUCCUCCGGAUGACUUUUUUUUUCCCAUUUCACAGGCCAGGAAAAACAAGUUUUAGAGAAAAGUGGCUAAAAGACAUCAUUGAGAGCAAGACUCUACUUCAAGAAACCAUCAACUUCUAAUAACAUACAUUAUCAUUUUC